GUCUUCGUAGUGUAAUUGGAAACAUGCUCGACGUGCAUUCUAGAGGUCCAGGGUUCGAGUCCCUGCGAGGGCA